GUCGAGAAUCUUUCACAAUGGGGGCAACCCUGAUGGAGCGACGCCGCGUGGAGGAUAAGGUCUUCGGAUUGUAAACUCCUGUCAUGCGUGAACAAGGUUGCUUGGUUAAUACCUGGGCAAAUUGAUGGUAACGCAAGAGGAAGAGACGGCUAACUCUGUGCCAGCAGCCGCGGUAAUACAGAGGUCUCAAGCGUUGUUCGGAAUCACUGGGCGUAAAGGGUGCGUAGGUGGCGUGGUGAGUCAGAUGUGAAAGCCCGGGGCUCAACCUCGGAACUGCAUCCGAUACUGCCAUGCUAGAGGACUGGAGAGGUGACUAGAAUUCUCGGUGUAGCAGUGAAAUGCGUAGAUAUCGAGAGGAAUACCAAAGGCGUAGGCAGGUCACUGGACAGUUACUGACACUGAGGCACGAAGGCCAGGGGAGCGAACGGGAUUAGAAACCCCUGUAGUCC
rnacentral:rRNA from 1 species